rnacentral:rRNA from 1 species
AAUGAACGCUGGCGGUAGGCCUAACACAUGCAAGUCGAACGGCAGCACAGUAAGAGCUUGCUCUUACGGGUGGCGAGUGGCGGACGGGUGAGGAAUACAUCGGAAUCUACUUUUUCGUGGGGGAUAACGUAGGGAAACUUGCGCUAAUACCGCAUACGACCUACGGGUGAAAGCAGGGGAUCUUCGGACCUUGCGCGAUUGAAUGAGCCGAUGUCGGAUUAGCUAGUUGGCGGGAUAAAGGCCCACCAAGGCGACGAUCCGUAGCUGGUCUGAGAGGAUGAUCAGCCACACUGGAACUGAGACACGGUCCAGACUCCUACGGGAGGCAGCAGUGGGGAAUAUUGGACAAUGGGCGCAAGCCUGAUCCAGCCAUACCGCGUGGGUGAAGAAGGCCUUCGGGUUGUAAAGCCCUUUUGUUGGGAAAGAAAAGCAGCAGGUUAAUACCCCGCUGUUCUGACGGUACCCAAAGAAUAAGCACCGGCUAACUUCGU